AGCCACCCAGGUGCCCCCAGAAAUGUGCUUGAGAAGCAGAAAAGCCAAGAUUAUAGGAUAUCAAGAUGGGAUUGUGGCUGAGCUGGAAGAGAAAAGAACAUCACCAAUAGACAAAAACUGAGAGUAAUAGGGCUUUAGGUGUUAAGCCCCUCUUUUGGGCAGAGGAAGCAUCCAAAUCCAAGAGCCCUAUGAACCUGGUGGUAAAGCAGAUCUGCUCUGCUUCUUUUUGCCCAAAGUACUACCAACAUGCAGCACAACUCAACGGCAUGUUCUUUAUGAAGGCUUCUCCCCUGUCUGUGCUCCAUGUGCCUCUAUUCAAACGCUAUCCUGAGGACAGAAAACAUGUCUGGCAUUUCUCCAUGUCUAGAGCGUGGUGUACCUAGGAUAUUGCAGGAAACAGGGACCAAAGAAACAUGUUAAAUGACACCAUGCAGAUUGGAUGCAACUAACCAAGUUUAGAAUGUGGGAAAGAUGACAAGGCAAAGACCAGUUUCUUCAAUAAACCAAUUGCAAAGAAAACAGAAAGUGGAGGCAAUAUAGAUUAACAGAGAUUCAAGAGACAUACCAAAACAAUUCUUUGCUAUUUCUUCCAUUGAGGGUUGGAUUCUAAUUUCCCUCCCCUUGAAUUUGAUCUGGCCUUAGUGACUUGCUCGAUCAACAGGAUGUAGUGAAAAUGACAUUCUGGGAAUUCUGGGGCUAGUCUGUAAGAAGCUGGGAGGUGCCACAUGAGGCCACUUGCAGCACUGUCUCUGGGAUACGUGAGCCUAAGAAGUCUGAGUACUCUUAGACCAGUAUGUUGGAGAGGCCAGCAUUGUAGGCACAGGUGCAGUCAUGUGAAUGAUGCCAUCUUGGAUCCUCCACACCAGCUAUAGUUGAUGUGGAGUGGACCAGAAGGAUGACUCAGCCAAGCAUUGCUCAAUUAGUAAUCCAUAAUACUGUGAGAUAUAAUAAAAUGUUUGUUUUCAGCUACUCAGUUUUGGAGUAGUUUGCUAUACAACUAUAGACAAACAGAAUAACAUCUAAUAUUUUAAGAUGGAAAUUAAGAUCUGGUGUUAGUAGAAUGUGGUUUGCAGGAGGAAAGGAUGACAAAAAAAACAAAAAUAAACCAAGAGAUGUUUUUGGGCAUGUUCAAUUUGUGAGGUAAUGUUAUUUCAUGAUGAAAAUGAUACUUAAUAAAUUGUGUGGUGAAAUUGA